CAGGGAGACAACAAAAUGUUUAAUAUUAUUAUUUUGUCACCUUAGGUCGAUCGGUAUCUCACGUUUUUAAUUUAUUAAGAAUUUCAUUUCCUAAGUUUUUCUAGGUCACACCCAUUAUUUUCCUGGGCCAUUAGCUCAGGUGGUUAGAGCGCACCCCUGAUAAGGGUGAGGUCCCUGGUUCAAGUCCAGGAUGGCCCAUAUCUCUAUGUUGGGGGUAUAGCUCAGUUGGUAGAGCGCCUGCUUUGCAAGCAGGAUGUCAGCGGUUCGAGUCCGCUUACCUCCACUGAUUACCACCUCUUCCAUAACCGGUAGUAAAGGAAAUGUUUUGAGUUGUGAUCAAAUUCUGAAAGAAUCUAGCUUCCUAAUGAAAUCAUUAAGAUGCUGGACUCAUUGAAUUAAUUUCAUUGUUUUCAGAGAACCUUGACAACUGCAUAGAUUAUUUUAAAGACAAUAAGCAUCUUUAAUGAUGCAGAUUUAUUAUUUGUGCGAAUGCAUUAAUAACAAUUCUAUUAAGCUGAUGCUUCAAUUUUUGAAGUUAUU
rnacentral:tRNA from 1 species